CUUGGGAUUCCUGGAGUGCUUUCUGAUGUAGAUCAUCAAUGAUAUCUGUCCAAGUGUGUGUACUGGACCUGAUAGCAAGAUACCCCAUUGCUACCGAUUGGUGCAGAAACAAAUGGGAUGGCAGCAAGCAUUGAAUUACUGCAAGUGAGAUGGCGGUACCCUAGCUGCUGUCUACAGAAUGAAAGAAUACCAGCUUCUUCUUUCCAUGGUAAAGCAGACCCAGAACCUCUCUGCUUAUGCCUGGGUAGGACUGAAUAAUAUGGCACAGGAAGGGAUGUUUGUGUGGACUGAUGGAUCAUCUGUGGAAUGGUUCUGGUCCAAAAGUGUCAAAGCUCAGCAGUGGGGGAGAAGACUGUGGCACUGAACUCUCAGGCAGGGGCUGAGGGCUUUGAUGACAAGUGUGAGUGGCUGUACCUUAGUCUCUGUGAGAUUCGCUACAAGUGAAGCAGUCAAAGAUGACAGAGGAGUCCAACACCAUCCACACAGAGUGAGAGCGCAAAGGGAUUUUGCCAACAUACUCUGAUUUUAUUUUAUGUUAUCGCACGCAAACUCCGUUGAGUUGUUUGAGGAUAAAAAGUGAUAUAAUGGUAAUUACAUUAUCAUUGGUUGCCAUUUUCAAUUGUAACAGGAAGUUAGUCAGGUUGAUUCUACAAUUGCAUUUUCAAUCUUGUUUUCUUUAUGUAACUAGCCUUAAGCUACUAACCAUUGAGGCACCCACUAAAGGUUUAUCCACAGUUCAAUCCCCUUACUAACUCACAACCGACUGUUUAUCUAAGAACACAGAUAGGAUAGUGUUGCAUGUGCAGGUAAAAUUAGUCUCAAUACUCUGAGGGAACAUUGUUAAUGGUUUGCCUAUUUUGUGGAAUAUUGAAAGAAUUGGUGGAAUUGUUGCAUCCUGAUUAUCCCUCAAUGCUUCCAUGCCCAUCUCUUUGAAUAAAACCUUUCAGCAUUAACCUUUCUAAGGCAUGGC